UUGAUGGUAAUUGUUUACUCACUGGGAUUAUGUAAUCAUAAUCUCACCCCUCUUCCUAUCCAUUUUUCAAGCUUAGGACAAUUUGUUGAUAGUUGAUUAAGACGAGAAUUAAUCUCGGAGUUGCAUCCUAGAAAGUAAGGGUUCGUAGCCCUACAUCUUCUUAGUCAGUUAGGGGCCCACGUGUCACUAUAAAAGUAAUUUUAUUUUUCAGUUAUUUGAUUUAAAGUAUGUAUGAAUAUAUUUA
rnacentral:lncRNA from 1 species